rnacentral:rRNA from 1 species
AAUAUUGCACAAUGGGCUCAAGCCUGAUGCAGCCAUGCCGCGUGUGUGAAGAAGGCCUUAGGGUUGUAAAGCACUUUCAGCGAGGAGGAAGGGUAGUGUGUUAAUAGCACAUUGCAUUGACGUUACUCGCAGAAGAAGCACCGGCUAACUCCGUGCCAGCAGCCGCGGUAAUACGGAGGGUGCAAGCGUUAAUCGGAAUUACUGGGCGUAAAGCGCACGCAGGCGGUUUGUUAAGUCAGACGUGAAAUCCCCGCGCUUAACGUGGGAACUGCAUUUGAAACUGGCAAGCUAGAGUCUUGUAGAGGGGGGUAGAAUUCCAGGUGUAGCGGUGAAAUGCGUAGAGAUCUGGAGGAAUACCGGUGGCGAAGGCGGCCCCCUGGACAAAGACUGACGCUCAGGUGCGAAAGCGUGGGGAGCAAACA